rnacentral:rRNA from 1 species
AGUGAACGCUGGCGGUAGGCCUAACACAUGCAAGUCGAACGGCAGCACAGGAGAGCUUGCUCUCUGGGUGGCGAGUGGCGGACGGGUGAGGAAUACAUCGGAAUCUACUUUUUCGUGGGGGAUAACGUAGGGAAACUUACGCUAAUACCGCAUACGACCUACGGGUGAAAGCAGGGGACCUUCGGGCCUUGCGCGAUUGAAUGAGCCGAUGUCGGAUUAGCUAGUUGGCGGGGUAAAGGCCCUCCAAGGCGACGAUCCGUAGCUGGACUGAGAGGAUGAUCAGCCACACUGGAACUGAGACACGGUCCAGACUCCUACGGGAGGCAGCAGUGGGGAAUAUUGGACAAGGGGCGCAAGCCUGAUCCAGCCAUACCGCGUGGGUGAAGAAGGCCUUCGGGUUGUAAAGCCCUUUUGUUGGGAAAGAAAUCCAGCUGGUUAAUACCCGGUUGGGAUGACGGUACCCAAAGAAUAAGCACCGGCUAACUUCGUGCCAGCCGCCGCCGUAA